AUGCAUAUUAGAUUUUCAAACACUUCAAGGCUUUUACAGAAAAGUGAAGCGAAUAAGCUUUAAAAAUCUUGAGGAUAGAUCAGAGCAGAGAGUUACUUUUCUCUGAAUUUGAUAUUCGAAGACAGUUUACUGCAAGUUUUACACCUCAACAAAACGGUGUAGUAGAGAGGAAAAAUCUCAGUCUUGUGGGGAUGGCAAAAAGUAUGCUUAAAGCAAAAGGUAUUCCUAAAUAUUUCUGGGUGAAAGCAGUUCACACGGCAACCUAUCUUCUCAACCGAAGUCCUACGAUGGCACUGCAUCACCAAACUCCUUAUGAAGCAUGGACAAAAAAGAAGGCGUGCUGGUUGAAGAAAGCAUUGUAUGACCUCAAGUAAGCACAAAGGGCCUGGUUUGACAAGACUAAUGGGCAUUUUCUGAAGCAUCAGUUUAAGAGAAGUGAAAGUGAACCAUCUUUGUAUGUCAAGACAAAGGUUGACAUACAAAGGGAGCUGAUGAGUGAUUGGGCAGGUUCUUUUGAUGAUCGAAAGAGCACUGUUAGUUCUGUUUUCAAUCUUGGAUUAGCUGCAAUCUCCUGGAGCUCAAAGAAGUAAUCAUCUGCUAUAUUGUCUUCAUGUGAAUCAGAAUACAUGGCAAUUACUUCAACAACAUGUUAAGCUGUUUGGCUUCAAAGAAUUUUGGCGGAUAUAAAGCAAAAGCAAGCAGAGGCAACAACAAUCUAUUGUGAUAACCAAUCCACAAUUGCUAUGACGAAAAAUCCAAUGUACCAUAGUGGCAUAAGGUAUAUUGAUACCCGACAUCACUUUAUAAGAGAUUUGCUCACAAACAGGAGCAUCAAGAUAUCUUAUUGCAAUACAAAUGAGCAGCUUGCAAACUUGUUUACAAAACCACUUCAUUUAAUGAAGUUUGAGAUGUUCAAAGAUCAAUUGGGUGUUGCAAAUUUUCCGAAGUAAGGGGGAGUGUUAAAGCCACUGUUGCAGAAAUUCCUUAUUUGCAGUAUUUGAUUGAGUCAAUAAGUUGUUUAAGUCAAUAAAUUAGUUCUAAAAAUCAGGUAUUUUCUAUUAGUAAUGGGUCCUUAUUUUUUCCCUGUAGUUUGGUUGUUUAUUGGAAUUCUAUUUUUUCUAACCCUGUAUUAAAAGUCUUUCCUCUCUUCAAUAAACGUAUCCAGUGUUUGCUCAUAUGC